rnacentral:rRNA from 1 species
UACGUAGGGAGCAAGCGUUACUCGGAAUUACUGGGCGUAAAGCGCACGUAGGCGGAUAUUUAAGUCAGGGGUGAAAUCCCGCAGCUCAACUGCGGAACUGCCUUUGAUACUGGGUAUCUUGAGUUUGGAAGAGGUAAGUGGAAUUCCGAGUGUAGAGGUGAAAUUCGUAGAUAUUCGGAGGAACACCAGUGGCGAAGGCGGCUUACUGGUCCAUUACUGACGCUGAGGUGCGAAAGCGUGGGGAGCAAACAGG